rnacentral:misc_RNA from 1 species
GUAGGUGAACAUCUCUUCCAGGUUCACCAGAAUAGAAAGUCUGUAUUAGCAGGCAACAUCUCCACUGUGCUGGGAUUUACAUUUGUAAUACCAGCAGCCUAGCAAUAGGCCCACAGGUCAAAUGGAGGUGGCCCAGGUAGGGUUAAGAUAUGAUCGGGAGGCUGCUAGAAAUUGCAGCUAUACUUCUGCUGCGGAAGGAUCAUUACAGAGAAAUUGCCCUUUGGGGUAGAUCUCCCACCCUUUGUUUACAUUACCUUUGUUGCUUUGGCAGGCCCGUCUUAUGACCACUGGCUUAGGCUGGUCCGUGCCUGCCAGAGGACCCUAAACUCUUGAUUUUUGUGUUGUCCGAGUAAUAUACAAAUAAGUUAAAACUUUCAACAACGGAUCUCUUGGUUCUG